UCCCUCUUAGCUCAGUGGUAGAGCGUGUCACUCGUAUGUUUCCGAUGACAAGGUCAGUCGUUCAAUCCGGCUAGCGGGAA